GAUGAACGCUGGCGGCGUGCCUAAUACAUGCCAGUCGAGCGAACGGACGAGAAGCUUGCUUCUCUGAUGUUAGCGGCGGACGGGUGAGUAACACGUGGAUAACCUACCUAUAAGACUGGGAUAACUUCGGGAAACCGGAGCUAAUACCGGAUAAUAUUUUGAACCGCAUGGUUCAAAAGUGAAAGACGGUCUUGCUGUCACUUAUAGAUGGAUCCGCGCUGCAUUAGCUAGUUGGUAAGGUAACGGCUUACCAAGGCAACGAUGCAUAGCCGACCUGAGAGGGGGAUCGGCCACACUGGAACUGAGACACGGUCCAGACUCCUACGGGAGGCAGCAGUAGGGAAUCUUCCGCAAUGGGCGAAAGCCUGACGGAGCAACGCCGCGUGAGUGAUGAAGGUCUUCGGAUCGUAAAACUCUGUUAUUAGGGAAGAACAUAUGUGUAAGUAACUGUGCACAUCUUGACGGUACCUAAUCAGAAAGCCACGGCUAACUACGUG
rnacentral:rRNA from 1 species